rnacentral:rRNA from 1 species
UCAGCAGUGAAACAGACCAGCGCCGAUGGUAGUGUGGCGUUGCCCAUGCGAGAGUAGGUCAUCGUCAGGC